rnacentral:siRNA from 1 species
AGAAGUCACAUAGCUCCACAUGAC